UUUCCGUAGGUGAACCUGCGGAAGGAUCAUUACAUUCAGUAGCCCAGCUACUUGUUUACACCCUUGUUUUUUUUGCGUACCUAUCGUUUCCUCGGCGGGCUUGCCUGCCACUGGGGACCCUUUAAACUCUUUGUAAAUACAGCAUCUGUCUGAAUAAACAAACAAAAAUCAAAACUUUCAACAAUGGAUCUCUUGGUUCUGGCAUCGAUGAAGAACGCAGC
rnacentral:misc_RNA from 1 species